ACUUUCCGCUCCUUCCCGCCGCGCUCCAUCGCUCAGGCGGAGCGGUGGGAGGGACGGCCUGAGGGGCCGGUCUUCCGCCGCCUCCCUGGGCGCCCGAGCGGGGAGGGCCCGGCACCUGCUUCCCCCGCCCGCCCCUCGGUCCGGGGGGUGACGCGCGGCAGCCGCAGCUCCCGGGCGGGAGGGGCGGCCCCGGUUAAAGGGAGAGACGGCGCUGCUGCCGCUCCGCGCCUUGCUCGGGGCACGGAGUUGAUGAUUAACCUGCGGUUCAUUGAAUACCUGCCUGGCUCAAGUCGCGCCCAGGAUGUGGUUUAACCUUGUCCGAGGUUUCGGUACCUCGGGUUUUGCCUUUCUGCCCGAGACCCUGGUGCUGCCAGUUUUGCUGCUACCGAAGCGCUGCGGGGAUGUGCAGCUCCCCGUUGAAAAUCUCUGCUGUUAAUAUCAGCCUAGACUUCGCUUUACAGUCGUUUUUAGAGGUUUGAGGCUCCAGAGGUCGAGGUGAUGUGGGACUGUCGAUCUCGGCGAGUAUUUUUGCAGCAGCAGCAGCCUCGGGCUGCAGUAGCUGGCACUUGAAUCCAUGUUGGCUCCUUUUCCUCGGGCGUGAGCUGCAAGGAGCUCAGCAGCUUCGGCAUUUAGAUUGUUGCUGCAUGAUGGUCCCUGAGAAACUGAAUAUGGAGUGGGAGGUACCAGCUGAAAACUUUUACUCUGAAGAUUUUGUUUCUUGGGUUUUACGCUUGCUUGAUUUUUCUUCCUCUUUUUCCAAAAACUAACAUAAGAACAUUAAAAUUUAAACUUGCAAAGUACCAUUUUGGAAAGGUAAGAGUAAUAAAGUAACUGAUUAUAUGUAUAGCUCUUUUUCUCUGUUUAAUGCUUAAAUAUGUUAGUGAUGUUCUGUUGUCAGAUAUGGACUACAAGAAAGCUUACUCACCAUCAUCUCACUUUGAUAAUUUCUGUGUAUAUAAAGUCAAGGUGACUGUGAUUGUAAACUUUCUUGCAUUUCAUAACCAUUUUUAAGCCAACAACCUACUAACGUUAUUGAUUUUAAUGUGUACAUGUAGUAUCCUUUGGCUAUCGCAGUAUUUUAAUCAAAGGGAGGGACAUCUAUUUUGAGACAGAGGUUAUAAAAUCAGUAGCUAAAAUAAGAGACCGUGUUCUUUUUUGUCAACUGCUUUCUGUUUAAACCCUUCUCUUUUUUCUGAAUUAAAAACCUCUUAUAUUUUUUACACCUUUUUUCCCUUGUACUUUUGAAAAGAAGGGCUACAUUUUUUCCUUACUAUGGUAUCUGUAGCCUUACCAGAGGAUAAGAAAUCUAUAUAUUACUCUGAGUUGAAGGUAGACUUCUUUUUUUCUUCUUGGAUCUCAUAAGAGUGCCUUUUAUUUUGUCAUCCUUAAUAGGAGCAUAUUCUUUGCCCUGUAGCAAAGAGGGAAACUGAACACUUUAGACCUGAUGUAGUGUUCUCAGAAAUCACUGUAAAGAUUUCCAUUUGGGAGUUUCAGCUGGCCUUCAAAAUACUUUUUCUUAAUUUUGAUUCUAUUAUUUCAAUUAUUUUACCUCCCUUUCCUACAGCCUGUAGGCUUCUGACCCUAUUCCAGUAGGGAACAAUAGCCAAGACUUAACUUAGUAGCUCUUGUGUUUUCAGAAAUGAAUUAUUUUCAGGAAUAUUUCUAGUGGGAAAAUACCAAUGAUGAAAUGUUGAUGGAAGAAGUUGAAUGGGACUCAGCGUGAGUACAAAAGGAAGGGGUCUCUUCAAGCAAACUGAUUCUAAGUUGGCAAGAUGUCGAUCCAUACUGAUCCCAUUUGGGGAAACGUCUGUCCUGUGUGAGGAUGCCAGUACAGUUGUAGCCACUGACAUUAUACAUGACCAGAGGCUCCAGUUUCUGGCAUCUCUUUCUAUUGUCAGUAAAGUAGUUUCACACCUCAGCCAAAACUCAAAACCAAUCAUCUACUUUUUAUAUGGCAACAGUGCCUAGCAAGGUGUGGACACAUCUGUCUUGAUAGGAUGUCAUGAGAACAUCUCCUUGCAAUUUGUUUCUCUUCCCUCAGACAAGGUGCCAAUGCAGUGACUUGUUCCUUGGUAGUCAGUUCAAUUUCUUCAGAUUAUCUGUAAAUUUUCAAUAAUGGCAAUACAUUCAUUCUGCCAUUUGGAGGAGCCUGUGCCACAGAAUAAUGAUCUGAAGAAAGCUCACUUAUUUGCAAGGAAGAGUCUUCAUUUGGGAAUUAGCACCGAUACAGCUAAGAGGUGCUUCCUCAAGUUCAGCAGAACUGUUAUUGUUUCACCUCUGAUACCUGGACAAAACUGGGUUUUCUUCAUAGAUCAGGAUUCCUGUACCUGAAGAGUAAGAAGAGACACUGUCUUUCAUUGCAACUUGCUGUGGACUAACAUCCUACUGUAUCAUUUAGUCCUGGAGACAUCAGUCGUAUAUGUUCCCACCCUCCCACCUUGUUUAUCUGCUUCACACAUAAAGGGUAAUGAAUAAAUACUUAUACCUCCUGGGGCACAAUACAGGGCCAGAGGCAAGUGCUAUGUGGAGUGAAUUUCCUAAGCAUGUUUUAUUCAGCAGAAUACAUAUCCAAGAUUAAUCUCACCUUAGUAACAACAAAAAGAGGACCUCUGAAGAUUUGGAAAAAGGAUCUUGGCUGAGAGAUCUGGGGGUGGGGGGGGAAAUGUUUGGAAUCUCCAGGAAAAAGCACAGUUUUCCUCAGCUUUCCCCCGAUGGAAAUUUUUAAAUUUCUAUCCUAUUCUAUCCCAUUCCAACGUUAGAAAAUUCUUCAUGGGUCAAAAAGAGCAGUGAAGUUGAUUUAGAAGUAAUAACUUACAGUAUUGCAUUCUUCACAAUGCUUUCUGUAUGUAACAAGUAUUUUAGAUUAAUUUGUUACAGAAUUUCAUACCAUUGAGAAAUUCCAAUUUCUGUAUGUAAUGGACUACAUUUAUUGGCGGGUCUUUAAAGUGAUAAUUUUUCUAAAGAGAGAUAUCAUGUUUAUUUAACGAGAUUUUCUAUAUAAGUACGUCCUUCCUAUUAAUUUAUGACAGGAUGCUACUAUUAUAAGUAUUAUAUUGUUGAUUUUUAUUUUCCUUUUUUUUUUUUGUUCUUACUGAGAUUGAGCAACUAGCAGACAAAAAACCACGAACUUUAAAGUAACCUCAAUUUGCAACACAGAUCCAUCUGUGAGAUGAGCCCAAGUUUAAGCUAUAAAAAAAAAAGUUAUUUUUUUUUAAUAACUAAUUACCUACCAAUACAUUCUAUAUGCUAGCUAGGUUAUGGUCAAUACAGUUCACUUUUGAUAGGAAAGUGAGAGUUUCAGUUAAAGAUUCCUAAGAGCAGGGAUCUUAUUUUCAGGGGAGAUGGAGAUAGGGAGACAAAAACAAUGCAUGUAUGCAUUUAUCUUGAGUCUGGUUUGGAAGCUAUUAUAAAACAAGUCAUAAGUAAGGAGGAAAAUGCAUUCUUGUUCUAUCAGGUGAUUCUGGUGCCUCAGCUCAGUUGUCUGGGAGUUACCAUUCAUAGUGUCCCAAGGAGAACACACUUGUUAAAACAUUUUUUUUUCGUUUCUUUUUUCUCAUUUAAGGAAUACUUGGAGAAGUUUGUUCCUUUAGAAGCAAAAAAGAUGACUUGUUUUUAGCAGCACAGCCUGAAUUCGCUGAUGCUGUUUCAAACAACCAAAUAAAGUAUAGAUGUUGGUGGAAGUAAUAUUGUGCAGCUGAACUAAAGGGAUUUUGCUGGAUAACUACUUGCCUGUUAUUGUCAUUGGCAAGUCAGAGAAACCAUUUUGGUAGGUGUGGGUUGCUUGUCAGAAAUCCGUUCCAAAGCUAGAGUGCGAAGCAAGAAGGGUACUGAUGAUGAAUAUGAAUGGAUAUCAUGAGGAUAACAAUGGACACAGCAUCUUCAAAAGCAGUGGCAUUCUGGAAUUUUCCAUGUUUAUUAUUGUCCACAUUUGAACCCUAUCCAGUUUUGUAGUACCCUUUUGGAGAAGGGGUGACCUGUACCUCAUAUGGGCUUUUCUUUUUCUGCAAUAAGCAUGUUUUUGGAGACCCUGAGAAUUUCUUAGCAUGUAAGAUAUUUAGACCCUAAUCCUGCCACUGGAUUUGUUCAAAUGGACCUUGAUAGCUGUGGGGCCUGACUGAGUUGAUGGGACUCCUGGAUGACUGCAAGUUCCUACUCUGAAGAUCUGAUUGUAGGCCUGAACCUAAAUUUCUAUUUCCUUCCCCUGUCUACCUGCUUCUGAUUGAUGAAAAUUACCCAAAAAACUGUAUUGUCUUUGAGUCUUAUGCUCAUCACUUUAGUAGCAUUCAGAAGCUGUGUGCUUGGGAUGUUGUCAGACAUUGUUAAAAUAUUUGUGUUCUGUCAUGUGCCAAUAUCUCAUGAUUGCUCUGAUUAUUGUGUUAUAUUUUUACAUUUACUGUCUUCCUAUCUAAAAUGGAGAUCAUCACCUGUGUUUUCGGUCAUUGUGGUGUUUCUCUUAACUCAGAUUUUUAAGUCAGAGUAACUGUUGAAACUAUUCAGAACUUCUUUCAAGAUGUGGGUAGAUUUGUUUUUUCCUUGGCGGACACAGAGUAUAUCUAUUUUAUUUUGCAAACUUAGUAGCCUACUAGUACUGAAAGCUUUCAAUAUGAUGAUACUCUAAUGCAGAUCAAUAAAAUAAGUAGGAAAAGGCAUUAACUUUUACUAGAUCUCCUGUUGCUUUUCUAUUUCUGUGGCUGUGAUUACAUGACAUACAGCUGAGAGUGAGGAUAUUUUUAUUUUUUUUGUGAGCCAGUGAAUAUCUUUUGAUUACACAGAGUGCUGUUCCCUGUGUAUUUCGUAUGACCAUGUUGCAGUUUCACCAAGUACUAAAGUUACAGCCCUGAUAGAAGCUGGAAAGGACUUUGCAAAAUCACAUUAAAAGAGUUCGAGAGGGAAAACAGAUCUGUUUCAUCUCUAUGCAUCUUAGUAUUUAUUUUGUGUAUUUUUUAAAAAGCAAAUACGUAGCAAUAUGUGAUAAUUAACAUAUUAAAAGAUCAAAACUUUCUCAGUAGAGAAUGAGAAAAACCUUUUUUGUUUUGUUGGUUUAUUACAGUGCUUCUGUAAGCACUGUAAGGUAAGAUCUUCACAGUAUUUGAUGAAUUUUUGCAUAUUCCCAGAACAACAGAAAAGCACCACUGUCCUGUUUGACCAAGGAGAAAAUUGAGCCACUUGUUCAGUCAGUAGUAGAGUCAAUGAUAUUAAUUGGGUUCUCCUGCCUUUUAACCUUUUGCCUCCAGCUCAAUUUCUCCCUCAAGAGCCAAACCUUCCAUUAUCAUCAUCUGUUUUGCAUUUCUGUGUGAAAGGCCCAAGGUGUUACAGUUUGGACUCCCAGAAAAUGAGGAAGACAAGGUUGGUGGCCAUCUGCCAAGGUGCUUGGUAUGACUUGCUCCUUGCUCACAGAAGCCAAUGGCAAAGGCAGAACUGAGUGUUCCUGUGUGGCAUUCAACUGCCUUAACCACAUGCCCAUCGCUCUCUUCCUGUAGUUGUCUGUCUUGUUCUUUGCAUAACUCCUAGAGCAAACACAUAUAUCAACCUAUAAAUAAUCUAAUUCGAUACACAACCCUGAUUCAUUUCCUGAGCUGCAUGUCCUGCAUACACAGGGUGGCCGUGGUCCUGUGGAAAAAUUCAGCAGGGUGCAUGAGGCCGAAUACUAAGGCUGUUAAGUAUUUAAACUUUGCAAUGAAAUGGCGUUCCUUUAAUGUAGCUUAUUAUAGAUAUAGCUUGAAGUAUUUUUAACAAGGAACAAGAGAAAAAUGAAGGCUUUUAGAACUGAUUGUAACAGUUUCCCUGUCUGGCAUGUGGACGUGAACAUCCAGCUCAGUGAAAUACAGAACAUCAGCCAGUGGGAGGAGGCUGGCCACCUCUGGGGAGGAAGGGAAGGAAGAAGACUGGGUAGUAAAUGCCAUGGGUAUACCCAGUUUGCUUUCAAGUCUCAGGGAAUAUUUGUGUAGCAUUGACCCUAGCUUUUUAGCUUUUGUUUUCUUUUCAGCAUUUCCAGCCGAAGAAACUGGCUCCUUCAGAAUUGCUCAGUGCUGUAGACAUUGAGGGUGUUCCUGCAGUCUGCUAAUAAUUUAAAUGAAGAAACAGAAAUCAAAGGUGGGCUUUUCUCCUGUGUUCUUCUGUUGGAAGAUAAGAGGAGAUGCUCCCAGAGUCUCCCAGUUCUCUCCUCAAUGAAUUUCAGGGGCGAUCCAUGUGAUCCUUGAUUUCACACAUAGGUAGCAAAAACUUAAAUAAUAGAAAAUACUGCUCUUGACUUGCCCCUUUAGUCUUCUUCCCAGUCAAAACGUAGUGGCGUGCUGUGUUUUUAAGCUACCAAGGUGUGUAAGCUCCAGUGCCAGAGCAAUCUUGUUGGGAAUCACAAACUUAUGUCUCUAUCUUUUAUGUUAGACUUUAUUAGGAGGAUAAGUUUUUUUCAGAGAAAUCUUGCCAGACUGUGGGUUUGGUUUCAGUUUUUGUUAAUGUCUACCUUAUCUAUUGAUGGUACUUGAGAUUUGGUCACCAAGCCAGUGAUUUGCUCUGAGGAAAACAGAACAAUCUCAUACUUUGCUUUUGCAUGUUUUUCCCUAGGAUAUACAGUCUUUCCCCACAGCAAAUUCAGAUGUCCUGUAAACAGCUCAGGUGGGGAUCCUGUUAGGGAAAAUUUGUUCAACCCAUUCACUGAAAUUCAUGAAAAUCAAAAUGCUUGCAAAAGGGUAUCAGUUCCACUGUCAUUUUGUUGCAAAGAAAAAAUGAAGUCCCUGCUUUUAACACUGUGGUUUUUUUAAUAAGUGUCAGUUUUCAUCAUUUCACAGCUGUAUAGAAAUUGUGGGAUCAGGAUGAAACAGUCUUGAUACAAAAGAAUCACCUUAAGCCAGUAUCUCAAGUCAACACUUUGUAUCGUGAAACCAUGGCCUGAAACUGCUGCCUGUCAUAUCAGAUAAUAUUAUCAUUGAUUUAUUAUGUUACUUCAUCUUACAUAUUUUUGUAACCUUUUGGCAGAGAUGGGGUUUUUUUCUGUUUUGGUUUUUUUUUCCUCUUUGUUUUGGCAUUGGGGGUCUUUUUUGGAGAGGAGUGGGUGGGUUGAGUUUUUUUUUACCAGCACCUACUUGAGCCCUGAUCCAUGACUUGGCUUCCAGGUACUAGGAUAAUACAAGUAGUAAUCAUGCCUGCUGCUAAAAAUUUUCUAACUUAUUUCAUUUGCAUUUGUUUGCCUUCAGCUUCCAGUCAUGGAUUCUUGUUAUUCCUUCUCUGACGGAUUAAAGAGCUCUUUAGGACUCACUAUUUUCUCCCCAGGAAGGUGCUUUUAUCCUGUAAUCAAGUUACUUCUCAAUUUUUUUUUAAUUUUUUUUUUUAAAGAAACAGCUAAACAGAUUUUUUUAUGGUUCUUAAUAUUUUUUUCUCAUUCUCAGAUGAUUUUUGUUGCUCUUUUCUAUCCAUUCUCUAUUUUUUCUUUUAAAAAAAAGAGACAUAAAACUGUAUUUUACUAGUCACAUAUACAAAAGUAAAAUUACUUCUCUGGUUACUCUGGUGUUAGUAUGGUUAGAAAUUGAUGUUUUUGCAAGGUUAGAUAAAAUAACUACCUGAUAUGACUUCUGCAUGUCUGAGUGUAAUUAUUAGAGGACAGAAAAUGAUGUAUUGUUUUAAAAACAUUUAAAUGUUUUUCAAUGUUUUAAAGUGAUCCAAAAAUCAGUGGGUGUGUAGAAGGGGUUGCAAAAUAUUUGUGUGAGAUUUUUAAGGAGAUAGAAGUGAAAUAAAAACAAUAAUCUUAAUUGCAAAGCAACAGUCAUUCAUCAAAACUUAAUUGCUAUGUUUAACACAGUGAUACGUAUUUGCUGAAAUUUUAUAGGACUGAAUGAAAAACCUCUUUUAGUAACAGACUGUUGCAGGCCACUGGAAAUAGAGACUGAAUGGAUGUGAAUAUACACAUCCUUUACAUCCAUGUAAUCCCAUAAGUAGCUACUUGCUUUUAUUUGGAAACCCAAGAACAGUUACGCUGUAAUAGAAGAAAUAACAGUAUUGAGAAUUUCUUUUGUUACAAAAGCUGUCACCAUUAAGUUAUAUAAGAGUUCAAACAAUCAAAAUUCACAGCUUCAAAGAGGCUCUUGAAAGUUUUACUGCUUCAGUACUUCUUUCCAAAGGAGUGGCUAUUAAUUUUUAUUUUUAUUCAUACUUGAAGAAAAGGUUGAGUUAAAUUUAUAUGAAGGAGACUAAUCAGAUGCCUGCCUGGUCAAUGCAUCUCAGCUUACCCAAUGACUUUUAUGCAUAUCGUGCAUAUCAGCAUCUGUAUUGAAUCUGCACUCCCAGCCCCACACUUAUCCCCCUGGAAACUAUCAGAUUUUCAUUAUAUUGAACUACAGACUGUUUAAACUCUCAGUGCUGCUCAUCAGUUUAAUGCAAGUUUGUUUAAUGUUGUGUCUCAGAAAAAUUUGAGGUCUUUCUGUCUGAACUGACUUGCUUUUUGACUUCAGAGGGAGUACAUCUUUCUGUUAUGGCAACAUUCCUUCCCUUCGUGAAACUUGAGGCGUAUUCAAUAAAGGACUUCAUUUGGUACAGCAAAAUGAAAGUUCAUGGAAACAUGGUAAAUGAGGAAAAAAUGAGAAUUAAAACAAUGUAAAAGACUUAAAAUCCUCUAAAAAUCCUGGAAAAGAAGUAAAGGUGAAUAAGGACCGAAUAGAGGGAGAGAAAGGAGGGAGAUGGAGAAAGGAUAACAGCUUUUUGAGGCUUCUUGUGCUCUUCCAGGAUAUGUUCCUUGCCCUCCCUAAGUGUUUACUCUGAUAACUUGUAGUAUUUGUAAUCUUCCUUGACCACCAUAUCUCAUUGGGAAGUUAGCAAGUUCAUGAAGUUCCUGAGUAUGUGGACAAUUCCUUGGCUGAAUGAGAAACACUCUGUUGUGUAGUACGCCUUGUGAGGGAUGAGGUGGACACUACUUAAUGAGAGCCAUGUACACUUGGCCGUACUCAGCAAAAGGGUAAGACUGUCCUGUCAAACUAUGCAAGUUCCUUUUUUUGAACCUGUUAGCAAAUGGUUGUUUCCUCCAGCAGUUCCUGUAACUCUGUGCAGUCUUCAUCACAGAAGAUGUUGUGUAGAUACUAAAUAGUGGUGUGUGCUGCAUCCCCUGUUUCUUUGGAUAUCAACAUCCCAUAAGUUCACAUUAUUUUCCCGUUUUGUGGAGAUAAGUCUGUGGUAGGCUUUCUAAUAUCAGGGACUGUGUUGGUGCUGAGGUGUCAUCUUCAUAUUCAGAAGCAGAUGGUUUAGCCUGUGUUGCAGAAAGAGAGAGAGUCCCAUAUAAAGGAUCAAAGUAGAGGUCAGGUGGUUUGUAUAUUGUGUAUUUUGAGAAAACAUACAGAUAAGGGAGUAGUAGCUCUGUCCCAGCACUAUACAUGGCUCAACAAAUCUUUCCAAUUUGACAUGUAGCAUUGAGGUCUAUCUAAAGGAGUCCUGGAUAUGAGGGAACAUACCUUUUUGAAUCUUUUGGGCUGAAUAAAAUAGGAAGGAAGGGAUUCUCAGGUAUUUUUCAUCACCUUAGGCCUGGAUGGAUUCUGCCUGUUCAGGUGUAGAAGUCUAAUAGUGGUGUCAGCAUCAGAAGCUUAAUUGCCUCUAGAUUGGAAUGAGGGAGACUGGCAACUGACACCUUUAGAGGAGGGUUUAUGAAGGUGGACAGUAGCAUUUUGGCUUUAUUAGAAGCAGCUGUUAACUCUUAUCUCAAUGGUAGGCUUGAGUGUACAAUACAUAAAUGAUCUGGAGAUUUUGGAGGGAAUUGAGUAUUUGAUGCCGUGUUUCCAGAAAGUUGAAGAGAUAAGUGAAUGUUGCACUGCGUGUUGUGCUCUCAGCAAAGCAAACAUCUCAGCAGGUCAGCGAUUUUAGAAAUAGUGCAGUCCUGAAAGAACAUUUUUUGAACUCCUUUCUGCUGUUGAAGCUGAAGAGACUUCCCAUCUGUCUGAAACUCUGCAUCAAGAGCUUCACAGAAGCACUUAAAGAAGUUAUGUACUUAUGCAUAAGCAAUAAGAUGCUAAAGGAAUCAUAUUUCAUAGUAGUAAAGUUCUUAACCUUACCAUGAAAUCAUUACUUUCUAUACACAUAUUCACUCUAAAAAAUGUUUGUGGUAAUACUGAUCAUCAGAACAAAAGUCUAUACUGAUGUAUCUUCAUCAUUUUUGCCCACUUCCUGAGGAGAACAGUGUGGGUAUACACUUUUGCUAUGAAAAUCUGUUUACUUGGAUACUUUACUGUAUAUCUGUUAAUUCCUCAAGAAGUGUGCAAAUUUUCAUGUUACCCAUUUUCUGGAUAAAAGCACUGUGUAACUACUGCCCCUGAUUUAAGAAUGUAUAAGCUCUAGAAAUGAUGGAAUUGUCUGCAGGGCUCACAUGUCAACAAAAAUCAGCUGGUUCACACAUGAAGCUUGGUGAGGAAAUCACUGCACCAGCACCAGUGCCAUCCCUGCUCCCUGCCUGCCUCUCCCAGACCACUUCCUUUAGUCAGCCGAGGUUACCUUGUGUGUCUGCCACUCCUCCAUGGUUACCACUCGCUCGGACACCACUAGCCCAUCACUCAUCUGAGGUGGGCAGACAAAUGUCCUUCUGAAACCCUGUUGGCUAAUAGAAGAGAGGCAGCUAUAUGUGCAGAUUAUCCGACACAAUGUGAGCAAAUCCAGACAGAAAGGUAAAACAAAGCAGAUUCCAUGCAUUGUUACUGUUUGCAGACACUCCAAGUCUCAUUUCUUUGGAGUCUUUCUCUUCCAGAAAUGAUUUUAAGGAAAUAUUUAAAGUAUCUUCCGCAAAUUUCAAAUAAGACACCAGAGGAAAAGAUUGGUUGCAAGCCUGCAUCUAAUAAGCAGCUGAGAACUGUGUUCAUCUGGGCUGCAUACAGGCUGGCACUGCAGCCUCAGGAAAAGGGCAAAUAUGGCCAGUGCUUUUCUUCAGACAUGCUGUGAACAACCUAUCGACUCUGUGGCUGGAAGUGUUUGAAAGCAGCAGUGACAAUCCAGAUUACCAGCAGCUCCAUCAUAAGUACAUGUGUCCAGGUGCCCUGUCUCUGCAGAUGUUUUGCUCCCGGUUUAAGCUGAAAAUGUAACAUUUUUGUUAAAAAUAGCCUAAUGGGAGCUUUGGAUUUGACUGACAAGCUAGUUGUUAUUUUGCCAUUUUGCCUGUAAUAGUCUCUUAAUUUUGACCCAAAGAAACAAUGAUUUCAUUCCUUGGGAGGGAGGACAGAGUGACAAAAUCCGGAGGUCCCGUGACAACACUGAAUCUCUUCAUUAUCAAAGCAAGUUAUGAAAUCAUCUGCCUUCCAGCCAAAACCACUGGGGAGUAAGCAGUGUCCCUCACAGAAGGCACAAUUUGCAAGAGAAGGUGGGGGCGUGGGAGGUGUGCUGCCCCUCAUCCUGUGUCUCCCUGAAUUGAUGCAAGUGCCUUUCCCCACUUCUGUCAGCAGUCACAGCACUAAAGUGGGCAGAAGCUUUCUAAGAUUCUUUAUAUACUGUGACUUCCUCAAAAAUUCUGCUGGAGUAGUCUCACCGAGGUGUUUCAUGGUUAUUUUGGGAGCUGGGGAGAAUGAGAUCCCCACUCUGCAUCUCUCUGGAUCCGGCUUUACUGCCAGCCAGGUAGUCUGUACUUCUUGGGAUUCUCCAUCCUCAUUUGUCUUUGCUAGAGAACUACAUGGGGGAUGAUCUCAAGUGAGAGGAUAAUUUUAAUAAAAAAACCUGUUUUCUUCAUUCAGUUGGAACUUUUCUGUUCCUACUCAGCAAUACAUGUUCAAGAAGAACAGUUCUGUCUUUGGAGAGGCCUUUCUCUGUUAGUUCUAAAGAAAAAUGGAAAACAAAAAGAUGCUUUAAGAAAAGAAUGUUUCCAUCCAAGUUCAGCUUGCCAUGCAUGGAAAAUGAGUUAAACCAAAAGGCUCCUUACCAAUAUUUCUACUAUUUUCCAAGUGAGUAGCUACAAAGGAUAUCAUAAAACCUGAAGUAUUUUAAAACACUUAUCUAAAUUGAAAUUAUAGUCUUACUCUUGCUUUGCAAUGUGACAUUCAAUCUGAGUGACUUUUCCCAAAGUGUACUCUAGUUUGCAAAACACAAAAAUUACUAAAUAGAGGUUUUGAAACUUCCUGUGCAGAUACGUACUUUUUUUUUACUGAAGCAGUUGUACUGGGCUGUUAUGACCCAAAUAUUCUGUGGACAAAGCCUCUGUGCACGAAGUCAAAGAUGUCUUGUGUUAUUCAAGUGAUCUCAGUGACUGCUCCUGUCUUGCGAAGUGUAAUUUGAAACAGAUUUGAACUUCAGUGAGGUUUGCAGAAGAAGGCAUGUUUGUAAAGUAUCAGAAGGGAUGUGGCACAGCAUGAACAAGAGAAGAAACAUAUAAUGCUUCCGUAAAACUGCUACUGUCUGCAACCAAUGAGUAAAUUCUUUUGAGUGUGUGUGUGUGUCAUCAAGGGCUGCAGAAGAAACCCACUGGGAUAUGCAAACCUGUGCAGGCCUUAGCAUAUAACUAGCAGAGAUGAAGAAAAACCUUUACAGGAGUGUGUCAUGUAAUCAGAACCUCCUCAUGUCUUGCCUUUUACCGAAGUUUUUGCUCUAGACCAGCUGGGAAUAAAAACAUUUCUUUGCCUUCC